rfam:Cavia porcellus supercont2_5 genomic scaffold, whole genome shotgun sequence.
GGGGAUUUAGCUCAGCAGGCAUAAGUGCCUGCCUUGGAAGCAGGAAGUUGUGAGUUCAAUCCCUG